rnacentral:lncRNA from 1 species
UACAAACUGGGCAUUUUGGUAGAAGCGCAAGUGAUCUCUGCCUACGGGGCCCUGAGCCCAUGACACCAUCCAGUCAGGAGCCAGCAGGAGAGAUAAGCCGGGAGAAAUGUUGCAGAAACGCCUGUUGUUGGAGCAGCCGAGGCCUGGGAAAGAAGUUCUGCAAUCAGAUCUUUAACUGCAGAUGGGCACGUGAGCGGUCUCCGUAGGGCUUCCUUCUCUUCCACCAGCAGGAGAUCCCGUUCUAUUAGGGAAUGAAACUGAGGAAGGAGAUCCAAGCCAUGCUGGGAAAUGAAGUCCUCUUCCCAGGUUGGCCACUAAUGAAAACCUCCAUCCAGAUGGAGACCUCUUCACCAGAAGUGUUAGAGAAAAGGCCAGUCUGCAUGGUCCAAAGGCAAGAAAUUAUAUAAAAUAACGUCUUUCCUUUGAAAUCAUGGACCAGAAGAGAGGGUCAGCAUUAAGAGGAGCUAUGGCCAUUUGCAACUACAUGGAUGGAACUAGAGGGUAUUAGUCAGUCAGAGAAAGACAAACAUCAUAUUCACUCGUAUGAGGGCUUGAAGAGACAAAUCAGAUGAACCUAAGGGAAGAGACACAAAAAUAAUAGAAAAACAGGGAGGGGGACAAAACAGAAGAGACUCAGAAAUAUGGGGAACAAACUGAGGGUUGUGGGAGGGGUUGUGGGGGGGGGGUGGGCUAAAUGGGUCAGGGGCACUAAGGAAUCUACUCCUGAAAUCGUUGUUGCACUAUAUGCUAAUUUGGAUGUAAAUUUAAAAAAAUUAAAAAUAAAACAAUUUAAUUAAAAAAAAAAAAAGG